rnacentral:rRNA from 1 species
UACGUAGGGGCUAGCGUUAUCCGGAAUUACUGGGCGUAAAGGGUGCGUAGGUGGUUUCUUAAGUCAGAGGUGAAAGGCUACGGCUCAACCGUAGUAAGCCUUUGAAACUGGGAAACUUGAGUGCAGGAGAGGAGAGUGGAAUUCCUAGUGUAGCGGUGAAAUGCGUAGAUAUUAGGAGGAACACCAGUGGCGAAGGCGGCUUUCUGGACUGUAACUGACGCUGAGGCACGAAAGCGUGGGGAGCAAACAGGAUUAGAUACCCUGGUAGUCCCUGAGCGGG